GGCGUGCCUAAUACAUGCAAGUCGAACGCUUCUUUUUCCACCGGCAGCUUGCUCCACCGGAAAAAGAAGAGUGGCGAACGGGUGAGUAACACGUGGGUAACCUGCCCAUCAGAAGGGGAUAACACUUGGAAACAGGUGCUAAUACCGUAUAACAAUCAAAACCGCAUGGUUUUGAUUUGAAAGGCGCUUUCGGGUGUCGCUGAUGGAUGGACCCGCGGUGCAUUAGCUAGUUGGUGAGGUAACGGCUCACCAAGGCCACGAUGCAUAGCCGACCUGAGAGGGUGAUCGGCCACAUUGGGACUGAGACACGGCCCAAACUCCUACGGGAGGCAGCAGUAGGGAAUCUUCGGCAAUGGACGAAAGUCUGACCGAGCAACGCCGCGUGAGUGAAGAAGGUUUUCGGAUCGUAAAACUCUGUUGUUAGAGAAGAACAAGGAUGAGAGUAACUGUUCAUCCCUUGACGGUAUCUAACCAGAAAGCCACGGCUAACUACGUGCCAGCAGCCGCGGUAAUACGUAGGUGGCAAGCGUUGUCCGGAUUUAUUGGGCGUAAAGCGAGCGCAGGCGGUUUCUUAAGUCUGAUGUGAAAGCCCCCGGCUCAACCGGGGAGGGUCAUUGGAAACUGGGAGACUUGAGUGCAGAAGAGGAGAGUGGAAUUCCAUGUGUAGCGGUGAAAUGCGUAGAUAUAUGGAGGAACACCAGUGGCGAAGGCGGCUCUCUGGUCUGUAACUGACGCUGAGGCU
rnacentral:rRNA from 1 species